rnacentral:rRNA from 1 species
GAUGAACGCUGGCGGCGUGCCUAAUACAUGCAAGUCGAACGAACCGUCCAGGAUCUUUCUCCUCCGGCGUUAGCGGCGGAGGGGAGAUUCACAUGUGGAUAACCCACCUAUAAGACUGGUAUAACUUUGGGAAACCGGAGCUAAUACGGGAUAAUUUAUUGCACUGCGUGCUUCAAUCGUGUAAUUCGGUUUUUCUUGCACUUAUAGCUGGAUCAGCGCAGCAUUAGCUAGUUGGUAAAGUAGAGGAUUACCAAGGCAACGACGCGUAGCCCACCCGAGAGGGUGGUCGGCCACACGGGCAGUGAGACAGAGUACACACACCGACGGGAAGAAGCAGUAGGGAAUCUUCCGGAAUGGGGGAGAGCCUGACGUAGCAACGCCGCGUAAGUGAUGAAGGUGUUCGGAUCGGAGAAUUCUGUUAGUAUGGAAAUACAAAUGUGUAAGUAACUAUGCACGUCAUGACGGUACCUAAACAGAAAGCCACGGCUAACUACGUG